rnacentral:lncRNA from 10 species
AGGAUACCAGCUGGGUACGAUCCAUGCCCAGUUUUCCAUGCAGACUGCUGACUUUCUUAUAUAUCCUCGCACUGUGAAAAGAAGGAUGUGGAACAAAAACACUGCAACUGGUCUUAAAUACCUGGGAGUGAGAUUGCUGUGUCAUAUGACGACUGUAGUUCAUUCAGGAGACAACAACGCCGCAGGUGAUCUGGAGGCUCCUGGAGGACCUCAGCGACUCAGGUCCAGUCCAAGGAGGGCCGCAGAUCAGGCUGAAGAAGGAUGGAUCCACAUGCUUAGAGGAGAUCGAGAAAUGCAGGUUAUGAUCUAAGGAAGAGGAUGGACGAGAUGACCGGAAGUUAUUUCCAACCCUGUAUGACAAGAGAGAGAUGCAGCAGAGAAAUGCCACAGAAAGGGGAGCUGGAGAGAAUCAAAGCAUGAGAGGAAUUCAACCUGCUGUCACUGGAAGGGGUCCAGAUGGAACGCUUGAGAAGAAACGUGUGUAGCAUCUAGGAGUAAAGACUCGCCCUGGCUGACAGCUAGUAAGGAAAUGGGAACCUCAGUGCUGCAGCCUCAAAGAAUUGACUUUAACCCACAGCCUGUGUGCACUUAGAAGCGGAUGCAUUCACAAAUCUUCCAGAAGGGAAUGGAGCCCCAUUGACACCUUGAUUUUAACCUUCUGAGAUUCUAAGCAGGGAAUCUAGAUGAGACACGCUGUGAGAUAAUAC